CUCCUCACAGCACCAGCCCAGGGCCCAGCAAGGCUUCCUGACUUGGAGUUCAUCAUCAACCAAAGCAGUUAGUUUGCUUCUGGAUCCCAGGAGGUGCUGGGAGUGGUACAGCUCUAGUCUCAUGAGAUGAUCACUGAGUUGCAAACUUUAAGCAUAGUGCUUGAUCAUGUUUUUCUUUGACCAUGGCAUGGUUACCCUACUGUCCAUGUAAACUGCACCCCACUAAGAAACAGCUGUGCAGAUGCUAAUGCUCACCAACACUAGGUGAGAUUGCAGAAUCAUGUAUAAUACCUGUCUAAUUCUCAUUCAGGACCCAGUUCCACCAAAGUCAAUGCCAUAACAUGGAGAUUGUCACAGAGGAAGGGAGAUCCUCCACCCUGCAGUGACAAGGAUCCUCAGAUGAAUUGCAGAGACCUAGUCGUCCAUUCCUAGUCCCGGUCAGACAGCCAGGGAGAACAAUCUAAGCAACACGCUAGCCUGGAGCUCAAAAGCUGGGAAGAACAUUGAUGAAACUCUCUCACCGCAGUCCCACCAAAAUGUACUUCUCUCCAAAUGCAAGAACCUUUCUGUGCCCAGCAGUGUCUCUUCAGCAGAGCACUCUGCCUGAAGUCAGUCAGAGCCAGGCCCCUGCAGGGCUCAGACCAGAGUGUCUCAGUGCCUCACUGAGACCAGAAGACAAAGGAAGAUAUUUUUUAAUAAGCAAAGAAAGAGCCAUACCAGUGCAAGCCUACAUUUUCCAGAAAGGGGACCAAAUAUUGCCUGUCUUCAUCAGCUAAAGGCAGUAGGAGGGCUUUCAUUUGGUCUGUACUGAUGAGUCAAGACAGAGUGGAACCACGUUGGUAGGGACCUCUUCUAGUACAGGACCUUCAUUCACUUUGACCCUUGGGGAUUCAAACCAAAUCAACACAGUGUUGCAACAUCUUCAGGUACCAAAUACCUAUUUUUUCUAAAAGGAAGAUCAGUUCCCUAUUUCAAAAUGAGCAGACUGCCAACGUAGUUACCAAGGUCUUCACAACCCUUUCAAUUAA